rnacentral:tRNA from 1 species
AGUCACGUGGUCUAAUGGUUAUGAUUUCUCGUUCACAUCAGCUGAACGCCCGAGAAGGUUCCCGGUUCGAUCCCGGGCGUGACUA